AAGCCUGAGACCUGAUGCCGAGCCGUAAGGCGAAGUGAGUGAUGCCAUGCUGCCGAGAAAAUCUUCGCAGCGAGGACGUACGCGGCCCGUACCCUAAACCGACGCAGGUGGUCAGGUAGAGAAUACCAAGGCGAUCGGGUGAACCAUGGUUAAGGAACUAGGCAAAUUGCCCCCGUAACUUAGGGAUAAGGGGGCCCCCAUCCGGUGACGGCACUUGCUGCCAGAGCUAGGUGGGGGCGCAGAGGCCAGGGGGAAGCGACUGUUUACUAAAAACACAGGUCCGUGCUAAGUCGCAAGACGAUGUAUACGGACUGACGCCUGCCCGGUGCCGGAACGUUAAGGGGACGGGUCAGCCAGCAAUGGCGAAGCUCAGAACUUAAGCGCCGGUAAACGGCGGUGGUAACUAUAACCAUCCUAAGGUAGCGAAAUUCCUUGUCGGGUAAGUUCCGACCUGCACGAAUGGCGUAACGACUUCCCCGCUGUCUCAACCGUGGGCCCGGCGAAAUUGCACUACGAGUAAAGAUGCUCGUUACGCGCAGCAGGACGGAAAGACCCCGGGACCUUUACUGCAACUUGACAUUGGUGCUUGGAACGGUUUGUGUAGGAUAGGCGGGAGACUGGGAAGCGGGCACGCUAGUGCUCGUGGAGUCAAUGGUGAAAUACCGCUCUGAUCGUUUUGAGUGUCUAACCUGGGCCCGUGAUCCGGGUCAGGGACAGUGUCUGGUGGGUAGUUUAACUGGGGCGGUUGCCUCCCAAAAGGUAACGGAGGCGCCCAAAGGUACCCUCAGCCCGGUCGGCAACCGGGUGCUGAGUGCAAGUGCACAAGGGUGCUUGACUGUGAGACAGACAUGUCGAGCAGGAGCGAAAGCUGGGACUAGUAAUCCGGCGGUGGCAAGUGGAAGCGCCGUCGCUCAACGGCUAAAAGGUACCCCGGGGAUAACAGGCUGAUCUUGCCCAAGAGUCCAUAUCGACGGCAUGGUUUGGCACCUCGAUGUCGGCUCGUCGCAUCCUGGGGCUGGAGCAGGUCCCAAGGGUUAGGCUGUUCGCCUAUUAAAGCGGUACGCGAGCUGGGUUUAGAACGUCGUGAGACAGUUCGGUCCCUAUCCGCUGCGCGCGCAGGAGACUUGAGAGGGGCUGUCCCUAGUACGAGAGGACCGGGACGGACUGACCUCUGGUGUGCCAGUUGUUCCGCCAGGAGCACGGCUGGUUUGCUACGUCGGGAAGGGAUAACCGCUGAAAGCAUCUAAGCGGGAAGCCCGCCUCAAGAUGAGGUCUCCCACCACCUUGAGUGGGUAAGGCCCCCAGCCAGACGACUGGGUUGAUAGGCCGGAAGUGUAAGCACCGCGAGGUGCUCAGCUGACCGGUACUAACAGGCCGAGGGCUUAACC
rnacentral:rRNA from 1 species